CUAAACUAAAUUAGUUUAAAUUAAAAUAGUGAAUUGUGGGUUCAAAGAUUUUUUAAAUUUGGUU
rnacentral:tRNA from 1 species